AGUUAAAUGGCUGAAAGUAAGCAACGGUCUCUUAAACCGCAGUAUAAUAAAUUAACACAUAUUUUUAACUA
rnacentral:tRNA from 1 species